rnacentral:rRNA from 1 species
GACGAACCGAGCGAACGUUUUUCGGAAUCACUGGGCUUAAAGGGCGCGUAGGCGGGGAGCCAAGUCGGUGGUGAAAUCUUUCGGCUUAACCGGAAAAUUGCCUUCGAUACUGGCUGUCUUGAGGGAGGUAGGGGCAGAUGGAACUUCCGGUGGAGCGGUGAAAUGUGUUGAUAUCGGAAGGAACGCCGGUGGCGAAAGCGAUCUGCUGGACCUCUUCUGACGCUGAGGCGCGAAAGCUAGGGGAGCAAACGGG